AGUGAACGCUGGCGGUAGGCCUAACACAUGCAAGUCGAACGGCAGCACAGGAGAGCUUGCUCUCUGGGUGGCGAGUGGCGGACGGGUGAGGAAUACAUCGGAAUCUACCUUUUCGUGGGGGAUAACGUAGGGAAACUUACGCUAAUACCGCAUACGACCUACGGGUGAAAGUGGGGGACCGCAAGGCCUCACGCGAUUAGAUGAGCCGAUGUCCGAUUAGCUAGUUGGCGGGGUAAUGGCCCACCAAGGCGAUGAUCGGUAGCUGGUCUGAGAGGAUGAUCAGCCACACUGGAACUGAGACACGGUCCAGACUCCUACGGGAGGCAGCAGUGGGGAAUAUUGGACAAUGGGCGCAAGCCUGGUCCAGCCAUACCGCGUGGGUGAAGAAGGCCUUCGGGUUGUAAAGCCCUUUUGUUGGGAAAGAAAUCCUGUCGAUUAAUACUCGGUGGGGAUGGCGGUACCCAAAGAAUAAGCACCGGCUAACUUCGUGCCAGCCGCCGCAGUAAUAC
rnacentral:rRNA from 1 species